UGCUGACACUGCAUUCUGUUGUUAUUUGGCUGCUGUGGAGAGGCCUGCAUGUGAGGCCUGAACUGUGGUUGGUUCAUGGGCAUCAAGGGCUGUGGUGGCCCUUGGAGAUGAUGAUGGUGUUGCUGUUGUUGUUGCUGGUGGUGAUGCUGCUGCUGCUGGUGAUGGUGCUGCUGAGGCUGAGGCUGUGGCUGAGGCUGCAAUGGAGGAUGCAAGGGACCCUGCAUGUUAGGCUGUGCGUGUGCUGUG
rnacentral:lncRNA from 1 species